GGGGGGGGGGGGGGGGGGGGGGGGGGGGGGGGGGGGGGGGGAGGGGGGGGGAGGUGGCUCGUCUGGCGGGAGCGGCGGGCGGGUGAGUAGCACGUGGAUAACCUACCUAUAAGACUGGGAUAACUUCGGGAAACCGGGGCUAAUACCGGAUAAUAUAUUGAACCGCAUGGUUCAAUAGUGAAAGACGGUUUUGCUGGCACUUCUAGAUGGAUCCGCGCCGGAUUAGCUAGCUGGUAAGGUAACGGCUUACCAAGGCAACGAUGCGUAGCCGACCUGAGAGGGUGACUGGCCACCCGGGAACUGAGACACGGUCCAGACUCCUACGGGAGGCAGCAGUAGGGAAUCUUCCGCAAUGGGCGAAAGCCUGACGGAGCAACGCCGCGUGAGUGAUGAAGGUCUUCGGAUCGUAAAACUCUGUUAUUAGGGAAGAACAAAUGUGUAAGUAACUAUGCACGUCUUGACGGUACCUAAUCAGAAAGCCACGGCUAACUACGUG
rnacentral:rRNA from 1 species